UACAGAGGGUGCGAGCGUUAAUCGGAAUGACUGGGCGUAAAGGGCGCGUAGGCGGUUUUUUAAGAUGGUUGUGAAAUCCCUGGGCUUAACCUAGGAAUGGCAACCAUGACUGGAAAGCUGGAGUACUGUAGAGGGUAGUGGAAUUUCCGGUGUAGCGGUGAAAUGCGUAGAGAUCGGAAGGAACACCAGUGGCGAAGGCGGCUACCUGGACAGAUACUGACGCUGAGGCGCGAGAGCGUGGGGAGCAAACAGG
rnacentral:rRNA from 2 species